rnacentral:lncRNA from 1 species
CUUGACAGUUUUGGUUGUCUAUCUUCAGAUUUCGUGGCUUUUUUUCCAACAGGUUGACCCUGGGAAAAUUUUGUCUUAGAUCGCUUACCCAAAUCAUGACUUCCUACCUUAUCUGAAACAAAAAGAAGGAAGCUUUAAGAAAAAUACCCACGGACUUCUGCAAGAAUGGGAGCGGGGUUUUAUCUGAAAGAAAAAAUAAAAUAAAAUAACUCGCUGAGGCUGGAAUCCAGUGAAAACCUUGAAAAAACAAAACUGUAUACCUGAUCAAAGACAGAUCUUGCCUUCUCAAGUAUAGUAUCUCAAUUUCUUUAAAUGAAUAAUUUUAAAACAAGCUUUCUCCAGUACCUUGUUUUCCCCACCCCACC